rnacentral:rRNA from 1 species
AUUGAACGCUGGCGGCAUGCCUUACACAUGCAAGUCGAACGGCAGCACGGGUGCUUGCACCUGGUGGCGAGUGGCGAACGGGUGAGUAAUACAUCGGAACAUGUCCUGUAGUGGGGGAUAGCCCGGCGAAAGCCGGAUUAAUACCGCAUACGAUCUACGGAUGAAAGCGGGGGACCUUCGGGCCUCGCGCUAUAGGGUUGGCCGAUGGCUGAUUAGAUAGUUGGGGGGGUAAAGGCCUACCACGGCGACUAGCAGUAGAGGGUCUGAGAGGACGACACGCCACACUGGGACUGAGACACGGCCCAGACUCCUACGGGAGGCAGCAGUGGGGAAUGUUGGACAAUGGGCGAAAGCCUGAUCCAGCAAUGCGGCGUGUGUGAAGAAGGCCUUCGGGUUGGAAAGCACUUUUGUCCGGAAAGAAAUCCUUGGCCCUAAUACGGUCGGGGGAUGACGGUACCGGAAGAAUAAGCACCGGCUAACUACGUG